AUUCCUUAAGGCAUUCAGCAAAAAGUAUCAGUAAAUAAAAGUCAAGAAUUUCCCACCCCUGCAAGCAUGAUAUCCAACGUUAUUGCUGCAACAUACUUGAGUUGGAGGAAGGUAUGUCCUAUCCUAUGAAACCAACAAAGUGCACAGAAUGAUGUAUUCUCCAGGAUGGAAGUGUUACCUGAAGUGCUAACCUAUCUGUUUUGACCAUAUUUUGGGUUUGAGCUGAUUAGAUGUUUUCCUCUUUUAUGGAUGUGUCACACAUUGAAAGUAAUAUGGCAUAUAUCAUGUGACUAGGAAAUCCAAAGGAUACAGAUUUCUCAAGUUCCUUAAAAAAAGUGAUGUAGUGCAUUGGAGAAGAGGAGUGACAAGCUGCUUGAUGGAAGGAAGAUAUGAUGCGCCGUGCAAACAACCAAUGAUCUUUGUUGCUGUUGAGUUAGUAUGGUUCUUAUUCCAUAUCAUCUGUUGCAUUCGGAAUUUAUGAUACUAAAUGGAGUUAUUCAGUCCUGGACAUCAAGAGAAAAUAUACCCCAACAACAUAGGAGCCA